rnacentral:rRNA from 1 species
AGACACGGCCCAGACUCCUACGGGAGGCAGCAGUAGGGAAUCUUCCGCAAUGGACGAAAGUCUGACGGAGCAACGCCGCGUGAGUGAUGAAGGUUUUCGGAUCGUAAAAACUCUGUUGUUAGGGAAGAACAAGUACCGGAGUAACUGCCGGUGCCUUGACGGUACCUAACCAGAAAGCCACGGCUAACUACGUGCCAGCAGCCGCGGUAAUACGUAGGUGGCAAGCGUUGUCCGGAAUUAUUGGGCGUAAAGCGCGCCCCCCCGGUUCCUUAAGUCUGAUGUGAAAGCCCACGGCUUCAACCGUGGGGGGUCAUUGGAAACUGGGGAACUUGAGUGCAGAAGAGAAGAGCGGAAUUCCACGUGUAGCGGUGAAAUGCGUAGAGAUGUGGAGGAACACCAGUGGCGAAGGCGGCUCUUUGGUCUGUAACUGACGCUGAGGCGCGAAAGCGUGGGGAGCAAACAGGAUUAGAUACCCUGGUAGUCCACGCCGUAAAC